GCAAGAAUCAAAGAAUGAGUAUGUAAUAUUACCCCUUUUGUUUGGCUAGGUAUGAAUUUUAAAAAACAUUCAACCAAAGAAUGAGCAUAUAAUUUUACCCUUCCUCCAAAGUGUCAUUUGAAUUCCGAAGGUGAGGGAUUCCCAAAAGAUGUUCUUUAGGCGCUCCCAUAUACUUUUCCUUAUUCAAACUAUUUGCCUCACCUAGAAAACAGUAUAGACUAUAGAAUAGUAAAAGAUAUAUCCUUUUACAUUUUUAAUAUGUAUUAACCUCAGCUUGCAGUUUGGCCAAACAUUGAAAUUUAAAAUCUAGAGCUUUUAGAGUCAAUAGUCUUUAAAACCCCUUCAAUCAAAAUUCCCCUUAUAUUUUAAAAUUCCCACCCAGACACACCUUAUGUGUUAUCAAUCUAUACAUAUGAAGGAAAAAGCUUUUACAUAUUUGAGCCCUUCUUCAUAUAUUCAAGAAGGUUAUUUAAUUUUGUAGGCAGUACAGGAAAGUAUAAAACUAUAAAACUAUAAAAAAAUAUCUGAAAUGAAAGAGGACAUACAUGGUUUCAUGAACCACUAAAGGUAUGCCUGGCAUUCUUGUUAGGCAAGGUUAAAAUUUAAAUUCAUCUCUAGCAAAACCUUUCCAAAACAAGUAAAAUAUAGACCCUCCAAACCUGCAAAACAUCACAAUUUAACUAUCCAUUACCUUUUUAUUUUCUCUUUCUUUUGUGGAGGAGGGUGAGGCAAAAGAAAUGAAAACACUAGAGUGUUACUAUCCUGAGUGUAGAUAAAAGAAAAUUUCUCACAAAAAGACAAAGAAGAAUAGAUAGCAAAAAUGAAAGAAAAUUCCCGUCAAUAACAAGAACUCAAAACUUAAAAAGAAACAAAUUUUAUGCCACUUAUAAAGCUAAUAAUCAAUCAACGACGACUGCGGAGGCAAUGAUGGUUGACAAUGGCAGCAAUAUCUUGUGCUCCAGCAAAGAAUCUCUCUUUUUUGUUUUUUUCCAAAAAAUGGACAGAUGGGACGACUUUGGUUGAGAACGAUUGGGGUUGCAGCUGGGAGGCAAUUUGCUGAACAAUGGGUUUGUUGGUGCCAGGUUGUUGGAAUCUACUAGAGUGGUAGUCCCUCGUGAUGAUGAUGAUGGCUAGAGUUAAGGGUGGUUUAGAGCUUUGGCAGUACAAUGAUUUUUUACUAUUUGGGAUGGGUUAUUGAUCUUAUGAAAUUGGGGUUUUUCUCCCCUCUUUCCAUUGAUAGAGAAGCAACACUGACAAUUGCGGAAGACGAUGAACAGUACUCCUCUUUUGUAAUUUUUUUCCCUGGAUCAAUUGGCAAGCUAUGAUGGUGGCGACCAGAUUGAAACUUACUAGAUGCAGUGAUGUACGGGAUGCUGAAAGGUUACAACCGGUACUAGGGUUUCAGCAAGUUCUGGUGAUUGAACAGUUACUCUUUUGUUGUUGACUCGAGCGAACUUUGACAACUAGGUGAUAUUAAUGUCAACUCCCUAACAAACUUUAGUAAAUGAUGGUGGCCAAAGAAAAAUAGAAAAUGGGUAGAAAGAUGAUAUGGUUAAAUAAAGAUAUCAGGUUUAGCUCUGAUAACAUCUGAUGCAGAACAAGGUGAAGGAAGGAAUAAUGUAGGAACAAAUAUUAAAUUAUAGGAGAAGAAUAAAUGCCCAAAGUCCACAGUGACAUUUAACAAUGUCAAAUCAAUUCAUAUUCAAUUCAUUGAAUUAUAUUGAUGGGUUAAAUUAACAUAUAUAGGACAUUAGAAUCCUAACUUUAUAUUAACCAGGAAACCUAAUUUUAAAAGGAAACAAACUCCUCAUAAUUAUCUAUUAGAAUUUAAUGAUAUCCUAAUGUUCUCUUAAGCUAAACUGAUAAGUAUUGGGAAGAAAGCAUGGGGAGUAGUUCUAGUCAUGUGACUCUAGUAUCUUCUAAAAUAUUAUUAUUAACUACUUCACCUUAACUUCCACUUAUUUACUAGUUAGGCCUAUAUCCUUAACAAAUAGCAUUGACAAUUGUUGAGAAGAAGAUGAAACAUAAAGUUAUAUGGUUUGAUAAGGGACACCAAAAGUUAAUGAACGUUGGCUACCUUAGCCGAAGCAAGUCCUUAAUAAUUUUAGUGGAUGCAUAUUGCACAGCAUUGCCAUCACAUAUAACAGUUUGAGUAUAACACUUUUUCUGGGAGUUCUUAUUGGGAAAAAGGGAGACGAAUUUCUCUCUUCAUGUCUGGGAAAAAGGUACAACCUUGAGAAUGCAUAUUUUUUAAAGCAUGAAAAGGUAUCGAUUUGUGAAGGGGAAAAAAUGACAAUAGGAACAAAGACAGAAUUACAACAAAUACCACAAGAAAAUUGGAGAAAACCUGAAAAGAAAAACAAUCCAAAAUAAAAUAGACAGAUUCACAAUAGGAAAUAACAUCUAAAAGGCAAUUUCAUUACCAGGAUUAUGGCUGUUAAACGAAACUAGCUACUCGACUCAACACCCAAAUCGUGUUUUGUUAGAUCAUUUUUUAUUGCUCCUUAAGUUAUCGAGUAGAGUCAAAAUUUGUUUUCGUGCACUACUCAACUCAACUCGAUACUAGCCUAAAUUUAAUAAAUUUAAAUUAUUUAUUUAUAUGGAUUUUUAUAAUUGUUUUUUUUUUGCUUUGUAUUUUAUUUAUGCAUUAAUUUAUUUAAAUAAGUAAUUUGAUAUAUAUAAAGAUAUUCAAAAUAUUUAAAAGUAGUAUUUUUAAAAACCAUUCAUAAUCAUAGUAUGAGCUACUCGAGAACUACUAGACUCAAUAAGUGUACAAUUCAAAUUAAAACAUAAAAAAAUUUGUGUUCGCUAAAUACUCAACUCGAACUUGAUAACUUUUUAUCAGAGUUUUCUCUAAAUACUCAACUCUAACUCAAUAACUUUUAUAAUGAGCGGAGCUCCAACUGUAUAUAGUCUACUAGAUUAUAGCCCAAAUCAGGAUUGAUCUCAUCUUCCCACGUAUAAAUCAUAAAAUUUACGAGUAGACUUCACAGGAGGCUUGGGAUAAAAAAGCUUUAAAAAAUCAGAAUUUGUUAAGAAGUCAGAAAACUUGAGGGAAGAUAAAAGAAAGACAGUGGAGUAUGAUUCUAACUAUUUCUAUAUUUUUAGAAUGUUUUUCUCUCUAAACAAACGGGUCAAUAAAAAGCAUAUUUUGUUUUGGUGAGUUUGCCACUCAAUGGAAGAUCACUAGAUGAAACAGUAAUUGGAGUUGAAAUAAACAUUAUACUCGUACCAAAUCAAGUCCAAAAUUAAUAGGAAAAAAUACAAAUAAACUUUAUAACUUAUAGAACUACGUCGAAAUAAAGAUAAAAGAUUACCAGAUGAUUAAAGCCCUAAUAUUGAUCCACAGACCGUAAGAUAUCCAUGCAAAUUAGCUUUCGGAAUUUUGCCAAAAAUUAAUUUUGGGUGGGGAAGAGAGAGAGGGAGGAGAGAAAACAUUCGGAGCUUCUCGCUCAGCUUUCAAAGAGACGGUAGGAGCGAUGUCGUUAAAUUUGCAGCUUCCCAGUUACAAGUAUAAUUAAGAUCAUAAUGACACGGAAAGACAUGAGGGUCUCUCAAUUUGACAAAUCUCAAAAUUUG
rnacentral:lncRNA from 1 species